rnacentral:rRNA from 2 species
AGAGGGAAUUUCUAGUGUAGCGGUGAAAUGCGUAGAUAUUAGAAAGAACACCGGUGGCGAAAGCGCUCUACUGGACCAUUACUGACACUCAGAGGCGAAAGCUAGGGUAGCAAAAGGGAUUAGAUACCCCUGUAGUCCUAGCCGUAAACGAUGGAUACUACAUGUUGUGCAUUAUGUACAGUAUGGUAGCUAACGCGUUAAGUAUCCCGCCUGGGGAGUACGCUCGCAAGGGUGAAACUCAAAGGAAUUGACGGGGGCCCGCACAAGCGGUGGAGCAUGUGGUUUAAUUCGAUGCAACGCGAAGAACCUUACCAGGACUUGACAUACUACAAAUUCUUUUGAGAAAAAGAAGUGCCUUCGGGAAUGUAGAUACAGGUGGUGCAUGGCUGUCGUCAGCUCGUGUCGUGAGAUGUUGGGUUAAGUCCCGCAACGAGCGCAACCCUUAUUUUUAGUUACCAAUUCGUUGGGUUCUCUAGAAAGACUGCCGGUGACAAACCGGAGGAAGGUGAGGAUGACGUCAAGUCAGCAUGCCCCUUAUGUCCUGGGCUACACACGUGCUACAAUGGUUAAGACAAAGAGUCGCGAGCUCGUGAGAGUCAGCUAAUCUCAUAAACUUAGCCCAAGUUCAGAUUGUAGGCUGCAACUCGCCUACAUGAAGUUGGAAUCGCUAGUAAUCGCUGGUCAGCCAUACAGCGGUGAAUCCGUUCCCGCGCUUUGCACACACCGCCCG